rnacentral:rRNA from 1 species
GACGAACGCUGGCGGCGUGCUUAACACAUGCAAGUCGAACGGAGCGAAUGAAAGCUUGCUUUUAUAAGCUUAGUGGCAAACGGGUGAGUAACACGUAGGCAACCUGCCGACAGGAUGGGGACAACAUUCCGAAAGGAAUGCUAAUACCGAAUGAAGUCAGAGGAGGGCAUCCUCUUCUGAUGAAAGAUGGCCUCUAUAUAUAAGCUAUCACCUGUCGAUGGGCCUGCGUCUGAUUAGCUGGUAGGUGAGGUAACGGCUCACCUAGGCGACGAUCAGUAGCCGGUCUGAGAGGAUGAACGGCCACAUUGGGACUGAGACACGGCCCAGACUCCUACGGGAGGCAGCAGUGGGGAAUCUUCCGCAAUGGGCGCAAGCCUGACGGAGCAAUGCCGCGUGAGUGAAGAAGGUCUUCGGAUCGUAAAGCUCUGUUGAUGGGGACGGACGUGCCUAAUGCGAAUAG